rnacentral:rRNA from 1 species
CCUACCGGGGAGCAGCAGUGGGGAAUUUUGGACAAUGGGCGAAAGCCUGAUCCAGCAAUGCCGCGUGUGUGAAGAAGGCCUUCGGGUUGUAAAGCACUUUUGUCCGGAAAGAAAUGGCUCUGGUUAAUACCUGGGGUCGAUGACGGUACCGGAAGAAUAAGGACCGGCUAACUACGUGCCAGCAGCCGCGGUAAUACGUAGGGUCCAAGCGUUAAUCGGAAUUACUGGGCGUAAAGCGUGCGCAGGCGGUUGUGCAAGACCGAUGUGAAAUCCCCGAGCUUAACUUGGGAAUUGCAUUGGUGACUGCACGGCUAGAGUGUGUCAGAGGGGGGUAGAAUUCCACGUGUAGCAGUGAAAUGCGUAGAGAUGUGGAGGAAUACCGAUGGCGAAGGCAGCCCCCUGGGAUAACACUGACGCUCAUGCACGAAAGCGUGGGGAGCAAACAGGAUUAGAUACCCUGGUAGUCCACGCCCUAAACGAUGUCAACUAGUUGUUGGGGAUUCAUUUCCUUAGUAACGUAGCUAACGCGUGAAGUUGACCGCCUGGGGAGUACGGUCGCAAGAUUAAAACUCAAAUGUUUUUAGACGGGGGG